ACUUAAGUAGUUUAAUUAGAAUAGUAAUUUGUGGUAUUACUGGAGUUUUAUAACCUUAGGUU
rnacentral:tRNA from 1 species